rnacentral:lncRNA from 1 species
GGAGACAGUCACGGUACUCGUUUCCAGACAGAAGUCAUGAGGAACAAGAGGGAAGGUGCUUUCCCGUGUGCAGCGCUUGGGGAGACUCACACAGACAGAGGAUCUGGCAUGACAGGGAAAGGAGGAAAUGGCUUCUGUUAAUCUCUCCUUCAGCUUCUCCCGCCCUUCCCAUGCACUCUUCCUGUUUCCCUUUCCAGUUCUCACGGUGACUCAAGGAACAACGUGUGAAAUGAAAGACCUCAGGUGCUGUAUUGGCUCUUGACAGCUCUUCAGAAGAAAAUACCUCCUGCCUGUUCUGUUCAGUCCUGGUGCAGGUGCCUAUUUCAUUCUCUCUCAUGGCAUACUGAUUUCGUCCACAUUGCAGGAAACACGGCUGCCCAAAUCCCUCCCUGCCACACCCACAUACAGGAACCUCCUGAAUUUAACCUCUUUAGGCUUUCACUAAAGAUAUUGCCAGCUUUAAAUCUGAAAAUCCCAGGUAAGACUAAUGAGUGGCUGGCCUUGGUCAGGCGCCCACCACUGGACUGUCAGGCAAAGCAGGGCGAGGGCAAGCUCAUAGCAUGCAGUUCCUAUGGGCUGUGGGGAGAGGGCUGUGGGGAGAGGAUACUUUCAUAUGAGAGAAGAGUGGUAGGCAGACAGCCCCACAGACAUCCACAGCAAGGCCUCCCUCCAACUUUAAGGCCCAAUUCAACAAAGUUUCUCCAGAAUCCUCUUCAGCUCCACCUGGACUGGAAAUAGCCUUCUCCUCUUCUCCACCCUUCCAGUGUCUUCACCUGUACCUCCCCGUGCACUGAACACCUGUUGACCACGUGGUCACUAUUUGAAUAACUUUUCCUAUACAAAUACUAAUGUGUGUCACUGAAGAAAAAAAUUGGAAACAUAAAUAAAUAAAGAGAAUAAAAUAAAAA